rnacentral:rRNA from 1 species
CCUACGGGUGGCAGCAGUGGGGAAUAUUGGACAAUGGGCGAAAGCCUGAUCCAGCCAUGCCGCGUGAGUGAUGACGGCCCUAGGGUUGUAAAGCUCUUUCGCAGGUGAAGAUAAUGACGGUAACCUGAGAAGAAGCCCCGGCUAACUUCGUGCCAGCAGCCGCGGUAAUACGAAGGGGGCUAGCGUUGUUCGGAAUUACUGGGCGUAAAGCGCACGUAGGCGGACUAUUAAGUCAGGGGUGAAAUCCCGGGGCUCAACCCCGGAACUGCCUUUGAUACUGGUAGUCUCGAGUCCGGAAGAGGUGAGUGGAAUUCCGAGUGUAGAGGUGAAAUUCGUAGAUAUUCGGAGGAACACCAGUGGCGAAGGCGGCUCACUGGUCCGGUACUGACGCUGAGGUGCGAAAGCGUGGGGAGCAAACAGGAUUAGAUACCCCGGUAGUC